AAUGAGAUAGUAUAUUAAAUUAUUACACUAAAUUUAGGAUUUAGAGAAAGAUCACUUAUUUUCUCAUUA
rnacentral:tRNA from 1 species